rnacentral:rRNA from 1 species
GCGGCAUGCCUUACACAUGCAAGUCGAACGGCAGCACGGGGGCAACCCUGGUGGCGAGUGGCGAACGGGUGAGUAAUACAUCGGAACGUGUCCUGUAGUGGGGGAUAGCCCGGCGAAAGCCGGAUUAAUACCGCAUACGCUCUACGGAGGAAAGGGGGGGAUCUUAGGACCUCCCGCUACAGGGGCGGCCGAUGGCAGAUUAGCUAGUUGGUGGGGUAAAGGCCUACCAAGGCGACGAUCUGUAGCUGGUCUGAGAGGACGACCAGCCACACUGGGACUGAGACACGGCCCAGACUCCUACGGGAGGCAGCAGUGGGGAAUUUUGGACAAUGGGCGAAAGCCUGAUCCAGCAAUGCCGCGUGUGUGAAGAAUGCCUUCGGGUUGUAAAGCACUUUUGUCCGGAAAGAAAACCUCCGCCCUAAUAUGGUGGGGGGAUGACGGUACCGGAAGAAUAAGCACCGGCUAACUACGUGCCA